rnacentral:rRNA from 1 species
GGGGGGGGGGGGGGGGGGGGGGGGGGGGGGGGGGGCGGGGGGGGGGGGGGGGCUUGCGGGGUGGGCGGGGGGCGGACGGGUGGGUGAGACGUGGGUGGUCUGCCCUGCACGUCGGGGUAGGCCUGGGAGACUGGGUCUAGUACCGGGUAGGAGCCAUUUUUAGUGUGAUGGUUGGAACGUUUUUUCGGUGUAGGAUGAGCUCGCGGCCUAUCAGCUUGUUGGUGGGGUAAUGGCCUACCAAGGCGGCGACGGGUAGCCGGCCUGAGAGGGUGGACGGCCACAUUGGGACUGAGAGACGGCCCAGACUCCUACGGGAGGCAGCAGUGGGGAAGAUUGCACAAUGGGCGCAAGCCUGAUGCAGCGACGCCGCGGGGGGGAUGACGGCCUUCGGGUUGGAAACUCCUUUCGCUAGGGACGAAGCUUUUUGUGACGGUACCUAGAUAAGAAGCACCGGCUAACUACGUG